CGUACCCGGGGCUUGGUCCUCCAGGCGCAGGGCAGGGCCUGGGCUUGCCUAGCGACCCUCUGCAAGGAGGGGAUCUGCGGGACGUGGGCGAGCCCUUGGGAAAGAAGAGGCUUUUUGUGGCAAGUUUGAGGCUUUAGUGAUACUGACUGGGAGGUUCUCCCAGUGAGCUCAAAGAAUGUCGAGAGUGAAAACUAGCGUGGUAUAAGGAGAUGAGAGUCAUUUCCUGGCGAGAAAGGAAGGGAACCAGGAACAUCGGAGACCGAUGAAGGCGGGUCGAGCGACCGCAGCCGCAAGGUGUGCUCUCUACGGUCGCUAUUCUGCACGGUCACGUGACAUCGGCUAGCCCUCUUAACUGGUUCCUUCAGAGGGCAGGGCUUUUUCCUAAAAGUCCUGGGGUAGAGGAAGUCACCCCGGAGCCCUUCACUUCUGGAAGAAACACGGUUUAGGCCAGUGUCGUUUCGUUUCCUGCUACAUCCAGGCCAGCUGUUUUUGCUCUAAACAAGACACAUUGAACUUUCCAGCCCUUGGUAACGAGUUAUUUGUUACGGACCUGUACAAAGUCAGAAUUAGUAGUGUCAGGGACCAAGAGUUGUCAUACUCUGUUACAAAAGCAGCUGAGCGAUCUCCUUUUGUUUUUCAUCUUAAUUAUGGUCAGAUUUAGCGUUAAAAAGUAAAGGAGCCCCGACAACCAUCGUUGGUAGGUGGCCUGAAUGCCCGGAUGAACAUAAGCGACAUCAUGGAAUUUUGAUGUCAAAUGAGGUAUCUAACGAGACAGAAGGUCGUAAAGCAGUGGAGACAACGCACAACAUCAACGACACAUUUGGCCCAGCAACUGCUAACAAAUGUUCAGUGCAGUGGUGGUUCAAGAAGUUUUGCAAAAGACAAGAGCCUUGAAGAUGAGGAGCCCAGUGGCUAGCCUUUGGAAAUUGACAACAACUAAUUGAGAGCAAUCAUCGAAGCUGAUCCUCCUACAACUACACGAGAAGUUGCCAAAGAACUCAAUGUCGACCAUUCUGUGGUCAUUCAUUAUUUGAAGC
ensembl:lncRNA